rnacentral:rRNA from 1 species
GAUGAACGCUGGCGGCGUGCCUAAUACAUGCAAGUCGAGCGAACAGACGAGUAGCUUGCUCCUCUGACGUUAGCGGCGGACGGGAGAGUAACAUGUGGUUAACCUACCUAUAAGACUGGGAUAACUUCGGGAAACCGGAGCCAAUACCGGAUAAUAUAUUGAACCGCAUGGUUCAAUAGUGAAUGACGGUUUUGCUGUCACUUAUAGAUGGAUCCGCGCCGCAUUAGCUAGUUGGUAAGGUAACGGCUUACCAAGGCCACGAUGCGUAGCCGACCUGAGAGGGCGAUCGGCAACACGGGAACGGGGACACGGGCCAGACUCGUACGGGAGGCAGCAGUAGGGAAUCUUCCGCAAGGGGCGGAAGGGUGACGGGGCAACGGCGCGUGAGUGAUGAGGGUCUACGGAUCGUAGAACACUGUUAUUAGGGAGGAACAAAUGUGUAAGGAACUAUGCGCGUCUGGACGGUACCGGAACAGAAAGCCACGGCUAACUACGUG